CUCAUCUUCUUUUCUCUCCCACGUUCUGAGCAUUUACACACAAAAGCUUUUUGUUUCUAUUCCCUGUUCUGACGAGUGCACGUCAGUGCUGAGAAGCUGUGUUAACCUUGGGGAGCAACCGAAAUAACGAUUAGCACCACGAUCAGCCGAACUUGCUUUCAAGGCAGUGGUUCGUCACGGCACAGCAAUUGUCUUGGUCGAUAGUCUUAACCUUUUUUCUAACACAUGAUGCCAGAACAAGGUGACAUGAGAGGAAAAAUGAACAGAGUCGCGACGUUGCCCUUUGUCAUUGUGACAUUGUUUGCAUAUUAUGAAAUGAAAAAUUCCCUUUUUGGCUAAAUCUACGAGCCUUAUCUUCCUCUCAUCUGGCUCUUUUUAUAUUCUUUACUGUAUUGUUGUUUUUCUUUUUGGGUUGAAUUCUUGCCUUAAGGAGAUUCGCUUCAAUGUAUAGCUGGCAAGGUACUUCAUAGUACAGAUAUUCGUUGUGUUCUCGAUAGCCACGUCCGUGUCCAGGCAUGUAAGAAUUUGAUGGACCGACAUCAAUGUAUAAAGACGAUGGACCGGCCCCUAAAUCAUAAUAUCCUUGUACCAACCUCAGAAUCACAAUAUCCUGCACCAAAUGUUAGCAUCAUCAUCAUUGGACUACCUUAACCAAUUAGGCUUUGUGCUUGUGUCAUAGGAGGCACUUCUUCCACAUUAUGGUAAACUUCAUCGAGUUUAGCUUUUUCCACUCAGACACCUUCUCUAUGAACUGGUGGAGGUAUAAUAGAUAGAUCGUACAUAUUAUGUAUCUCCUCCAUGUAUCUCUCAUUAUUAUUACAUAUAUCAAGAACUUGUUGUGGAUCAUCUGCAACAUCACGAA